rnacentral:rRNA from 1 species
UACAGAGGUCUCAAGCGUUGUUCGGAUUCAUUGGGCGUAAAGGGUGUGUAGGUGGCGCCGUUAAGUCGGGGUGUGAAAAUUUCGGAGCUUAACUCCGAACCUGCAUUCGAUACUGCGGUGCUUGAGGACUGGAGAGGAGACUGGAAUUCAUGGUGUAGCAGUGAAAUGCGUAGAGAUCAUGAGGAAGACCAGUGGCGAAGGCGGGUCUCUGGGCCGUAACUGACGCUGAGGAGCGAAAGCAUGGGGAGCGAACAGG